rnacentral:rRNA from 1 species
CAGUAGCCGCGGUAAUACCGAGGGUGCGAGCGUUAAUCGGAUUUACUGGGCGUAAAGCGUGCGUAGGCGGCUAAUUGAGUCGGAUGUGAAAUCCCCGAGCUUAACUUGGGAAUUGCAUUCGAUACUGGUUAGCUAGAGUGUGGGAGAGGAUGGUAGAAUUCCAGGUGUAGCGGUGAAAUGCGUAGAGAUCUGGAGGAAUACCGAUGGCGAAGGCAGCCAUCUGGCCUAACACUGACGCUGAGGUACGAAAGCAUGGGGAGCAAACAGGAUUAGAUACCCCGGUAGUCCCUGUCUCUUAUAC